rnacentral:rRNA from 1 species
UGCUUCGCUGACGAGUGGCGGACGGGUGAGUAAUGUCUGGGAAACUGCCUGAUGGAGGGGGAUAACUACUGGAAACGGUGGCUAAUACCGCAUAACGUCGCAAGACCAAAGAGGGGGACCUUCGGGCCUCUUGCCAUCAGAUGUGCCCAGAUGGGAUUAGCUUGUUGGUGAGGUAACGGCUCACCAAGGCGACGAUCCCUAGCUGGUCUGAGAGGAUGACCAGCCACACUGGAACUGAGACACGGUCCAGACUCCUACGGGAGGCAGCAGUGGGGAAUAUUGCACAAUGGGCGCAAGCCUGAUGCAGCCAUGCCGCGUGUAUGAAGAAGGCCUUCGGGUUGUAAAGUACUUUCAGCGGGGAGGAAGGUGUUGUGGUUAAUAACCGCAGCAAUUGACGUUACCCGCAGAAGAAGCACCGGCUAACUCCGUGCCAGCAGCCGCGGUAAUACGGAGGGUGCAAGCGUUAAUCGGAAUUACUGGGCGUAAAGCGCACGCAGGCGGUCUGUCAAGUCGGAUGUGAAAUCCCCGGGCUCAACCUGGGAACUGCAUUCGAAACUGGCAGGCUUGAGUCUUGUAGAGGGGGGUAGAAUUCCAGGUGUAGCGGUGAAAUGCGUAGAGAUCUGGAGGAAUACCGGUGGCGAAGGCGGCCCCCUGGACAAAGACUGACGCUCAGGUGCGAAAGCGUGGGGAGCAAACAGGAUUAGAUACCCUGGUAGUCCACGCCGUAAACGAUGUCUACUUGGAGGUUGUGCCCUUGAGGCGUGGCUUCCGGAGCUAACGCGUUAAGUAGACCGCCUGGGGAGUACGGCCGCAAGGUUAAAACUCAAAUGAAUUGACGGGGGCCCGCACAAGCGGUGGAGCAUGUGGUUUAAUUCGAUGCAACGCGAAGAACCUUACCUGGUCUUGACAUCCACAGAAGAAUCCAGAGAUGGAUUUGUGCCUUCGGGAACUGUGAGACAGGUGCUGCAUGGCUGUCGUCAGCUCGUGUUGUGAAAUGUUGGGUUAAGUCCCGCAACGAGCGCAACCCUUAUCCUUUGUUGCCAGCGGUUAGGCCGGGAACUCAAAGGAGACUGCCAGUGAUAAACUGGAGGAAGGUGGGGAUGACGUCAAGUCAUCAUGGCCCUUACGACCAGGGCUACACACGUGCUACAAUGGCGCAUACAAAGAGAAGCGACCUCGCGAGAGCAAGCGGACCUCAUAAAGUGCGUCGUAGUCCGGAUUGGAGUCUGCAACUCGACUCCAUGAAGUCGGAAUCGCUAGUAAUCGUGGAUCAGAAUGCCACGGUGAAUACGUUCCCGGGCCUUGUACACACCGCCCGUCACACCAUGGGAGUGGGUUGCAAAAGAAGUAGGUAGCUUAACCUUCGGGAGGGCGCUUACCACUUUGUGAUUCAUGACUGGGGUGAAGUCGUAACAAGGUAACCGUAGGGGAACCUGCGGUUGGAUCACCUCCUUACCUUAAAGAA